AACUAACGCUGGCGGCGUGCCUAACACAUGCAAGUCGAACGAGAAAGUUGGCUUCGGCCGAUGAGUAAAGUGGCGCACGGGUGAGUAACGCGUGGAUAAUCUGCCCUUUAGUUUGGAAUAACGUACCGAAAGGUGCGCUAAUACCGGAUAAUACUGAAUGACUACUGUUGUUUAGUCAAAGAAGGCUUCUGUUUACAUGCUUUUGCUGAAGGAUGAGUCCGCGUACCAUUAGUUAGUUGGUAGGUAAUGGCCUACCAAGGCGACGAUGGUUAGCUGGUCUGAGAGGAUGAUCAGCCACACUGGAACUGAGACACGGUCCAGACUCCUACGGGAGGCAGCAGUGAGGAAUAUUGCGCAAUGGGGGCAACCCUGACGCAGCAACGCCGCGUGAGUGAGGAAGGUUUUCGGACCGUAAAAGCUCUGUCGAGCGGGAAG
rnacentral:rRNA from 1 species